CGUAGGUGGCAAGCGUUGUCCGGAAUUACUGGGUGUAAAGGGAGCGUAGGCGGGAACGUAAGUUGAAUGUGAAAUUUACGGGCUCAACUCGUAAACUGCGUUCAAAACUGUGUUUCUUGAGUUAAGUAGAGGCAGGCGGAAUUCCCUGUGUAGCGGUGAAAUGCGCAGAUAUAGGGAGGAACACCAGUGGCGAAGGCGGCCUGCUGGGCUUUUACUGACGCUGAGGCUCGAAAGCGUGGGUAGCAAACAGGAUUAGAUACCCUGGUAGUCCACGCUGUAAACGAUGAUUACUAGGUGUGGGGGGACAGACCCCCUCCGUGCCGGAGUUAACACAAUAAGUAAUCCACCUGGGGAGUACGACCGCAAGGUUG
rnacentral:rRNA from 1 species